UACGGGGGGAGCAAGCGUUGUUCGGAUUUACUGGGCGUAAAGGGCGCGUAGGCGGCACCGCAAGUCGACUGUGAAAUCUCCGGGCUUAACCCGGAAAGGUCAGCCGAUACUGCAGGGCUAGAGUGCAGAAGGGGCAACUGGAAUUCUCGGUGUAGCGGUGAAAUGCGUAGAUAUCGAGAGGAACACCUGCGGCGAAGGCGGGUUGCUGGGCUGACACUGACGCUGACAGCGCGAAAGCUAGGGGAGCGAACGGG
rnacentral:rRNA from 1 species